UGGAAGUAAAAGUCGUAACAAGGUUUCCGUAGGUGAACCUGCGGAAGGAUCAUUAUUGAUUGGUCGAAAGACCUUAUCAGAUUCUACCACCUCUGUGAACUGUUGGACCUCCGGGUCUACAAUCAAACAUCAGUGUAACGAACGUAAGAGUAUCUUAACGAAACAAAACUUUCAACAACGGAUCUCUUGGCUCUCGCAUCGAUGAAGAACGCAGCGAAAUGCGAUAAGUAAUGUGAAUUGCAGAAUUCAGUGAAUCAUCGAAUCUUUGAACGCACCUUGCGCCUUUUGGUAUUCCGAAAGGCAUGCCUGUUUGAGUGUCAUGAAAUCUCAAUCCUCCUAGGUUUUUGACCUGGUUGGACUUGGACAUGGGCGUCUGCCAGCAAUGGCUCGCCUUAAAUGACUUAGUGGAACAUCCCACAUCAGUGUUAGACGUAAUAAGUUUCGUCUCUCCUUGUGGUGAUGACUGCUCAUAAUCUGCCAUCGCGCACUUUUGACUUUGACCUCAAAUCAGGUAGGGCUACCCGCUGAACUUAAGCAUAUCAAUAAGCGGAGGAA
rnacentral:rRNA from 1 species